rnacentral:rRNA from 1 species
CAGGUCGGUCUCUGCCUGACAGGGGCGUGGUUGUCUGAGGGGAAGUUGCCCCUAGUACGAGAGGAACAGGGCAGCGCAGCCUCUGGUUUAUCAGUUGUCCGACAGGGCAAGCUGAGCAGCUAAGCUGCUUAGGAUAAGUCCUGAAAGCAUCUAAGGACGAAGCCUUUCCCGAGAAAAGACAGCCGUCCGCAAGGAAAAGGGCGGCCAUAGAAGAUGGCGUUGAUGGGAUGGAGGUGUAAGCACCAAGCUUCGGCGAGGUGUUCAGCCUGCCAUUCCCAAUAGCCCGAUGCACUAAAUCA